rnacentral:misc_RNA from 1 species
GUCCCUGCAUUAAGCAAUUCACAUGGUAAUUACAAUCAAGUUAUUGAUAAUAUAAAUCAAUCUCCCCCCACCCCACAUCUUUUUCUUACGCCCAAAAGUCAGCCAUCUGAUAUUCUUGUACUUUAUAACAGGCAUAGGAACCACUUCACAGUUUAAUGAAUCUUUCUUUCAGUAUCAAGAGUCAGGACCAAGAGCCAGCCAAGGAAUUGAAGAGGAAUCCUUAUGGUUUUCCCCAUCUCCAUCCCAGUAUUGAUGAUUGAACUGC